rnacentral:rRNA from 1 species
GACGAACGCUGGCGGCGUGCUUAACACAUGCAAGUCGAACGGUAAGGCCCCUCGGGGUACACGAGUGGCGAACGGGUGAGUAACACGUGGGUGAUCUGCCCUGCACUUCGGGAUAAGCCUGGGAAACUGGGUCUAAUACCGGAUAGGACCACUGCCUGCAUGGGUGGUGGUGGAAAGCUUUUGCGGUGUGGGAUGGGCCCGCGGCCUAUCAGCUUGUUGGUGGGGUGAUGGCCUACCAAGGCGACGACGGGUAGCCGGCCUGAGAGGGUGACCGGCCACACUGGGACUGAGAUACGGCCCAGACUCCUACGGGAGGCAGCAGUGGGGAAUAUUGCACAAUGUGCGCAAGCCUGAUGCAGCGACGCCGCGUGAGGGAUGACGGCCUUCGGGUUGUAAACCUCUUUCAGCACCGACGAAGCGCAAGUGACGGUAGGUGCAGAAGAAGGACCGGCCAACUACGUGCCAGCCGCCGCGGUAA